GUCGAUGAGGUCGUAAUGGUGUGAAGGUCGACUGGUGAGGUAGCAAUCUCCCUGAGAUAUGAACGUGGUCAUGGGACCACUGGUGGACCGAUGAUUCCAGUCAUACCCUGCCGAGCAGAAGCUGGUGGCAGAUGUUCCAGUUAUGCGAGAUGUGCUACUUGAGUUACCAAGAUCAGCGUGUGGAGAGGUGCGGGCUGGGCGAAACAGAGCAAUGGUGAAGUAUGUAUUUGUGAUAGCAGCAUGGGUGGAGGCCAACCAACGCCACACUGCAGAGUAAUGGAAGAGGCUGUGACCUGCAGGUGACACGCUUGAGUACCCUAGACGUGGAUGACGUUGAUACCAUCCUGUGUAGUUACUCUAGGGACACAACCUCCAGCUGUUAAAGGAUCAAGUUUCUCUUCCAUACAAGGUACG
rnacentral:lncRNA from 1 species